rnacentral:rRNA from 1 species
AACGAACGCUGGCGGCAUGCCUAACACAUGCAAGUCGAACGAACCCUUCGGGGUGAGUGGCGCACGGGUGCGUAACACGUGGGAACCUGCCCUUAGGUUCGGAAUAACAGUUAGAAAUGACUGCUAAUACCGGAUAAUGUUUUCGGACCAAAGAUUUAUCGCCUUUGGAUGGGCCCGCGGAGGAUUAGCUAGUUGGUGAGGUAAAGGCGAACCAAGGCGACGAUCCUUAGCUGGUCUUAGAGGAUGAUCAGCCACACUGGGACUGAGACACGGCCCAGACUCCUACGGGAGGCAGCAGUGGGGAAUAUUGGACAAUGGGCGAAAGCCUGAUCCAGCAAUGCCGCGUGAGUGAUGAAGGCCUUAGGGUUGUAAAGCUCUUUUACCUGGGAUGAUAAUGACAGUACCAGGAGAAUAAGCCCCGGCUAACUCCGUGCCAGCCGCCGCGGUAA